rfam:Otolemur garnettii contig183318, whole genome shotgun sequence.
CUUCCACUUCUGCCGGGCUCAGCAUCCCUGGGCCUCAAACCCUUAUCCAUCCUGGGCUGCUCCUUGCAGAAAGCCCUCUCCUUAGGGUACUGACCCUCCGCCCUGGGCCCU